rnacentral:rRNA from 1 species
AGGCAGCAGUGGGGAAUAUUGGACAAUGGGCGAAAGCCUGAUCCAGCAAUGCCGCGUGAGUGAUGAAGGCCUUAGGGUAGUAAAGCUCUUUUACNCAGGGAUGAUANAUNNGACAUUACCUGGAGAAGAAGCUCCGGCUAACUCCGUGCCAGCAGCCGCGGUAAUACGGAGGGAGCUAGCGUUGUUAGGAAUUUCUGGGCGUAAAGCUCACGUAGGCGGCUUUUCAAGUCAGGGGUGAAAUCCCGGGGCUCAACCCCGGAACUGCCCUUGAAACUGGAAGGCUAGAAUACUGGAGAGGUNGAGUGGAAUUCCGAGUGUAGAGGUGAAAUUCGUAGAUAUUUGGAAGAACACCAGUGGCGAAGGCGACUCANCUGGACAAUCAUUGACGCUGAAGUGGGAAAGCGUGGGGAGCAAACAGGAUUAGAUACCUUNGGUANGUCNCACGCCGUAANUCGUUGANUAANCUAACUGGUCUGGGCACCUCGGAACUNNUCGCGGU